rnacentral:rRNA from 1 species
UACGAAGGGGGCGAGCGUUGUUCGGAUUCACUGGGCGUAAAGGGCGCGCAGGCGGCUCAUUUUGUCAGGCGUGAAAGCCCCGGGCUUAACCUGGGAACUGCGUUUGAUACGGAUGGGCUAGAGUUCGGGAGAGGAGAGUGGAAUUCCCAGUGUAGAGGUGAAAUUCGUAGAUAUUGGGAAGAACACCGGUGGCGAAGGCGGCUCUCUGGACCGAGACUGACGCUGAGGCGCGAAGGUCAGGGGAGCAAACGGG